CAGUUCUCGUAUAAUCACUGAAGUUAAGCAAUGUUGAUCCUGGUCAGUACCUAGAUGGGUGACCACUUGGGAAUACCAAGUACUGAA